rnacentral:rRNA from 1 species
UCCUACGGGAGGCAGCAGUGAGGAAUAUUGGUCAAUGGACGCAAGUCUGAACCAGCCAUGCCGCGUGCAGGAAGACGGCUCUAUGAGUUGUAAACUGCUUUUGUACGAGGGUAAACUCACCUACGUGUAGGUGACUGAAAGUAUCGUACGAAUAAGGAUCGGCUAACUCCGUGCCAGCAGCCGCGGUAAUACGGAGGAUUCAAGCGUUAUCCGGAUUUAUUGGGUUUAAAGGGUGCGUAGGCGGUUUGAUAAGUUAGAGGUGAAAUCCCGGGGCUUAACUCCGGAACUGCCUCUAAUACUGUUAGACUAGAGAGUAGUUGCGGUAGGCGGAAUGUAUGGUGUAGCGGUGAAAUGCUUAGAGAUCAUACAGAACACCGAUUGCGAAGGCAGCUUACCAAACUAUAUCUGACGUUGAGGCACGAAAGCGUGGGGAGCAAACAGGAUUAGAUACCCUGGUAGUCCACGCAGUAAACGAUGAUAACUCGUUGUCGGCGAUACACAGUCGGUGACUAAGCGAAAGCGAUAAGUUAUCCACCUGGGGAGUACGUUCGCAAGAAUGAAACUCAAAGGAAUUGACGGGGGCCCGCACAAGCGGAGGAACAUGUGGUUUAAUUCGAUGAUACGCGAGGAACCUUACCCGGGCUUGAAAGUUACUGACGAUUCUGGAAACAGGAUUUCCCUUUGGGGCAGGAAACUAGGUGCUGCAUGGUUGUCGUCAGCUCGUGCCGUGAGGUGUCGGGUUAAGUCCCAUAACGAGCGCAACCCCUACCGUUAGUUGCCAUCAGGUCAAGCUGGGCACUCUGGCGGGACUGCCGGUGUAAGCCGAGAGGAAGGUGGGGAUGACGUCAAAUCAGCACGGCCCUUACGUCCGGGGCUACACA